CCACAGCCACCCCCCUCCUCUGCAGGAGACCCUCCAACAGUAGCAGAGCUACUCCACCCAAGUCGGGCUCCAGUGUGACAUUCCUGCCUGAGAAAGGAAUGAUGAAGUGAGACUACAGUUGCAGACAAGUGACACCCAGAAGCCAAAAGCUUCUAUAAGUACCAGGUCUGCGCAAGACCCAAGCCAAAGCAAUGGCAUUGUCGCUGGAAGAAUUCAUCCACUCCCUUGACCUCAGGACCCUCCCCAGGGUCCUAGAAGUCCAGUCAGGCUUCUAUUUUGAAGGUUCUAUUUAUGAAAUGUUUGGAAAUGAAUGCUGUUUGUCAACAGGAGAAGUGAUUAAAAUUACUGGCCUCAAAAUUAAGAAGAUCAUAGCUGAAAUUUGUGAGCACAUUGAAGGUUGUGAGGCUCCACAACCAUUUGAACUGCCUAUGAAUUUUCCAGGUCUUUUUAAGAUUGUGGCUGAUAAAACUCCAUACCUCACUAUGGAAGAAAUUACAAGAACCAUCCAUAUUGGACCAAGUAGACUGGGGCAUCCUUGCUUCUAUCAUCAGAAGGAUAUAAAACUAGAGAAUCUCAUCAUAAAGCAAGGUGAGCAAAUCAUGCUCAACUCAGUCGAAGAGAUCAAUGGAGAAAUAAUGGUGAACUGUGGUGUGCUAAGGAAUCAUCAAAAUCACUCAUUUACUUUGCCUUUGUCACAAGAAGGAGAGUUCUAUGAAUGUGAUGAUGAACAUAUUUAUACCCUAAAGGAAAUUGUCCAAUGGAAGAUCCCCAAGAACAGAACACGAACUGUGAAACUUACAGACUUUUCAAAUAAGUGGGACUUAAGAAAUCCAUUCCCUAAAGGCUUUUAUGGUGCUGUGAUUCUCAAGCCUGUUUAUGAAAUUCAAGGUGUGAUGAAAUUUAGAAAGGAUAUAGUCCGUAUCCUCCCCAGUUUAGAUGUUGAAGUCAAAGACAUUACAGACAGUUAUGAUUCCAACUGGUUUCUUCAGCUGUUAUCUACACAAGAUCUUUUUGAAAUGACCAGUAAAGAGUUCCCCAUAGUGGCUGAAGUCAUAGAAGCGCCCCAAGGAAACCAGCUACCCAGAAACGUUUUACAACCUGGGAAAACCAUUGUGAUCCACAAAAAGUGCCAGGCAUCAAGGAUCUUAGCUUCAGAAAUUAGAAGCAAUUUUCCUAAAAGACACUUCUUGAUCCCCCCUAGCUAUAAAGGCAAAUUCAAGCGACGACCUCGGGAGUUCCCAACCCCCUAUGACCUUGAGAUAGCAAAGAGUGAAAAGGAGCCUCUCCACGUGGUGGCCACCAAAGCCUUUCAUUCCCCCCAUGACGAGCUGUCAUCUGUAUCUGCCGGGGACCAGUUUCUAGUGCAACACUCACAGACGACGGAAGUCCUCUGUGAAGGGAUCAAAAAAGUGGUGAACGUUCUGGCUUGUGAAAAAAUCCUCAAAAAAUCCUAUGAGGCAGCACUGCUCCCUUUGUACAUGGAAGGAGGUUUCGUAGAAGUGAUUCAUGAUAAGAAGCAGUACCAGAUUUCUGAGCUCUGUGCACAGUUCCACUUGCCCUUCAAUGUGAAGGUUUCUGUGAGAGAUCUUUUCACUGAAGAAGACAUUUUGGCUGCUACACCAGGACUACGGCUGGAGGAAGCUAUCACAGACUCUUAUCUACUCAUAAGUGACUUUGCCAACCCCAAGGAGUGCUGGGAAAUUCCUGCUGGCCGUGUGAAUAUGACUGUUCAGUUAGUUAAUAAUUUGUCUGGGGAUCCAGGAUCAUUUCUAGUCAAGACUCUGGUUGAAGAGAUCCCUGAAGAACAGUAUUAUAUGAUGCGGAGAUAUGAAAACUCUUUCUCGUACCCCCCACCUCGCCCUCCCAAACAUCCCUCCGUGGAGGAAACAAAGUUAAGCCUGCUCAACUUAGCAGAAGAAAAGACAGUGGGUCUGCCCAAGUCUCCCAAGCCUAUGUCAUUUCAGAGUCUCCAUGUAGACAGAUCCAAGAAGCUGCACUCAAGUCAAGCUGGCCUGGAUUCCAAAGUACCAGUUGGUUGUCAAAAUGAUUUGGCUGAUCUGGAGAAAGAGAAGAGAAAGACUGGGAAAACUGCAGUAGCAGGCACCAGUGCAACCACAGAAAUUUUCAAAAAUGAAAAACGUCAAAAAUAAUGAGAUGUGACUGAAGCCACUUGGGCAGUGAACAUAAAUGUUCACAAUGGAAAAGCAAGCCUAGCCUUCUAGCUGAAAAAACAGCUAUUCCCCAGUGGACCCCAGAAGAAAUUUGACUGGCCACUGCAAAGGAAAAAACAACCUUAAAAGUUUUAACAGCGUGCGAAAGUCGUGCUGGCCUCCUCACUGUUCAUCAGACAGGACAGGACGGUCUUGCCUCCAGGCCUUUGCCUUGGUUUCUCUCCACCAGGAAAAGCUUUUUGCUCAAAUAUCUACACAGGUUUUUGGCUAUAGAAAUAAUGUGCUAUGAACAAUUCUGUACUAAUCCUUCUAUGGAGAGAUGCUUCUACUUCUCUUGGUCAUGUAGUCAUAGUGGAAACCACCAUGGGAAAGAAGAAGUUUGAACCACCUAUUCCUGCUGCAUGACUACUUCUCCUCCAGCCCAUACCCCUGACCUCAUGGAGAGUCUCCCAUUUCAGACUGAUGUAUAAAGAGGGGAAAACAUCUUUCUACAUUGACUGAAUACCUGAUAGUUUUGCAUGUUGUGCUGACAAAAACCAGAAACAGACCUCUGUAAUCCUCAGGUGUGGGCCUGAUGGAAAAUAGGGGUGGAAAAUAUUCCAGUGGGAAGAACUUUAAAUAAUGCAUCUGCUUCUUCACUUUGCUUGGAGGGAGAGAUGGCCAGAGGUACAGAUCUACACUAGUUCCUUGUCAGUGGUCAGACACUUAAAAAGGGCAGUGGUGGUGAAGGUGGCUUGGGGGAAAUCAUGCAAAGAUUUCAACAAUUUAAGUUUCCUCUAAACAAAGCUAAUUUGAAUAUUACUCCGGUUGAAAGAUCAAACAGCAAAAAGCAGACAUUUCUAAGCCCCCAACAGGGUAAUACUCCCUCAGAGUAUCACCAGCCUUCCUGGUAGCAAGUGAUUUGUAGUACUUUCCUUCCAACAUGGAAGGUGCAGGAGUUACUACUGAUUGAAAUAGAACCAUAUUCUGUAAGUGCAUUUGCUUUCCCCAAUUAAAAUCUUCUGCCAUACCAACUUUGUAGACUUGCUGAAUGCCCUAAUUAUUGUUAUAACGUUUCACAUUGCAUUGUUUCUGAUCAAGGUGUUCGUUUCACCAAUACAUAUCCAGGGGAUUCACUGUCUUUACUACACACCCAUCACUGGAAGUAACAGACAUGAUAUAAGAGUGAAAGAACUUAUAUCCCAUUUAAACCUUAUCUCAUACAGUUAGGGUGAUAUCCGAGGAGGUUCGGUAUAUAACAUGAACCAAUUUUAAUACGUGGUGACUUUUCUCCCAUCAGAAUUCUCAACUUGUGAACCAAGCAGUGGAGAAUGAAAGUGACUCACUUUUAAAUUAACCACUUAACUUUUCCUCUAAUGGGCCACACACACAUUCUCCUGUUCUCAUGCCUUCAGUUUUGUGCUCUACUGAUUUAAAUGUCUUCGGUCUUUUAAAACUAUAUUGAACCAGAAGAAGUACUGCUACCCAGUCAUUUUGGGCUCCUAUAUUUUUUAAUCACCAAAAAAAACCAGAUUUUGUAUUUCUUAGGUGACUGAUGUUCAUUAUCCAAGGGAAUUAGGAUUGCUGGUAUACACAGGGAAUGAGGAGAAAUCGGUCUGUUUUCCAGGUUACUAUCUAGUUAACUUUUUAGUACUUCUAUAACUAGUGAUAAAAAUUAAUAGGAGAGUUCUGAAAACCAAAAUGAGCAGGACUACUAUAUUUCAGAGACUUCAAGAAUACAGGUUUGAGUUAUUCCACAAGUUAAACAACCAAGACCAGAACUUUGAAUGAUUAUGGAAAAAUCAAAUUUUAACUUUCCCAUGACCACUUGUAAUAAUGGCCACUAUAGAAACCAGGCAUAUUUUUUUCUUUCUUGAUUAUUUAUGUAUUUAUAUAUUUUAACUGGCUUCUUCCCUAUUCCCUCUCAUAUUAUUUUGUGCAAGUUUGACCUAAAAUACUAGUGGUUGUGUUAUAGAAUGUCGAAGGAGGAGUUUGAUUGAACUAGAAGGGGAGGGAUCAUUAAUCAGAAAUGGGUACAGAGAUUGAAAGACAAAACUUGGGUUCCCUACCUUCUGGAGAGAGGAGGAACCUAUAUUCUUUUGUAAGAAGGUUGGCGCCGUCAUGUUUGAUGGAACAUGAUGUUUUUAUGGGUAUUUGAAAGGAUAGGAUUAUGUUUACAUAUGCUGAGUUGACAAAUGUAUGGACUGUACAAAUAUGUUCCCUGUUGUUAGUUCAUCAUCAUCUUUAAUCCCUUCGACUGAAAGGGGAAGACAUUUCCUUGAUUCACGUGUGAAGGAAGUUCUGGAUACAAUUACCUCAUGAAGAGGUACUCGUGCAGGAUUUGUAAGGUGGAAGAGAAGAAGCAGCAGCCCUCAUUCUUCUCUUACAGAUGUGGGCAGAUAUUCGGGCAGGUUGCUGAUGAGGUCUGCAUCAGACUCUGGGAAUUCUCCGAUGAAAAACUUAUUUCAAUAUCAAAAGUUACCUUAGGUCAUAGGGGGCAUUUUUAUAUUUGCAUCCUCCUGAUCAUUGGACCUUGAGGUUGUGCUUCCUGGACCCUGAAUAAUGGCCCCCAAAGAUGUCCACACCCUAAUCC